UGCAGUCGACGGCAGCACAGAGGAGCUUGCUCCUUGGGUGGCGAGUGGCGGACGGGUGAGGAAUACAUCGGAAUCUACUUUUUCGUGGGGGAUAACGUAGGGAAACUUACGCUAAUACCGCAUACGACCUACGGGUGAAAGCAGGGGACCUUCGGGCCUUGCGCGAUUGAAUGAGCCGAUGUCGGAUUAGCUAGUUGGCGGGGUAAAGGCCCACCAAGGCGACGAUCCGUAGCUGGUCUGAGAGGAUGAUCAGCCACACUGGAACUGAGACACGGUCCAGACUCCUACGGGAGGCAGCAGUGGGGAAUAUUGGACAAUGGGCGCAAGCCUGAUCCAGCCAUACCGCGUGGGUGAAGAAGGCCUUCGGGUUGUAAAGCCCUUUUGUUGGGAAAGAAAUCCAGCUGGCUAAUACCCGGUUGGGAUGACGGUACCCAAAGAAUAAGCACCGGCUAACUUCGUGCCAGCAGCCGCGGUAAUACGAAGGGUGCAAGCGUUACUCGGAAUUACUGGGCGUAAAGCGUGCGUAGGUGGUCGUUUAAGUCCGUUGUGAAAGCCCUGGGCUCAACCUGGGAACUGCAGUGGAUACUGGGCGACUAGAGUGUGGUAGAGGGUAGCGGAAUUCCUGGUGUAGCAGUGAAAUGCGUAGAGAUCAAGAGGAACAUCCAUGGCGAAGGCAGCUACCUGGACCAACACUGACACUGAGGCACAAGCGUGGGGAGCAACAAGAUUAAUACCCUGGUAGUCCACGCCCUAAACCAUGCAACUGGAUGUUGGGUGCAUUUGGCACGCAUAUCAAGCUAACGCGUUAAUUCGCCGCCGGGGGAGUACGUCGCAGACUGAACUCAAGGAUUGACGGGGCCGCACAGCGUGGAGUAUGUGGUUUAUUCGAUGCACGCGGAGACCUUACCUGCCUUGACUGUCAACACUUUCGGAAAUGUAUGGUGCCUCAGGACUCGACGGGGUACUGCGGGCU
rnacentral:rRNA from 1 species